rnacentral:tRNA from 1 species
GACUCUGUAGCCUAAUGGUUAGGGCACCCACCUUGUAAGUGGGAGACCCAGGGUCC